rnacentral:rRNA from 1 species
AUUGAACGCUGGCGGCAUGCCUAACACAUGCAAGUCGAACGGAGGUAGGGGCAACUCUACUUCAGUGGCGGACGGGUGAGGAAUGCGUCGGAAUCUACCCUAUGGUGGGGGAUAACACAGGGAAACUUGUGCUAAUACCGCAUAAUGUCGAGAGACCAAAGCAGGGGACCGCAAGGCCUUGCGCGAUAGGAUGAGCCGACGCCCGAUUAGCUAGUUGGUAGGGUAAAGGCCUACCAAGGCGACGAUCGGUAGCUGGUCUGAGAGGAUGAUCAGCCACACUGGGACUGAGACACGGCCCAGACUCCUACGGGAGGCAGCAGUGGGGAAUAUUGGACAAUGGGCGCAAGCCUGAUCCAGCAAUGCCGCGUGUGUGAAGAAGGCCUGCGGGUUGUAAAGCACUUUUGUUCGGGAAGAAAUCAUGCUGGUUAAUACCUGGUAUGGAUGACGGUACCGAAAGAAUAAGCACCGGCUAACUUCGUGCCAGCAG